ensembl:miRNA
GAGGUCGGUUACUGUCUUUGGUUAUCUAGCUGUAUGAUUGUACACAAACCUGUCAUAAAGCUAGAUAACCGAAAGUAG